GGUUGCCGUGACGGCAUUAAUAGGGAACCGGGUGAGAAUCCCGGACAGUCCCGCUGCUGUAUGUUCUAUCACAGGAUGGUGAGAAAUAUCCACUGAAUGAAUUGAUGUUUGGGAAGGAUUUACCACUCCGGAACAAGUCAGAAGACCUGCCUUUUCUUAA
rnacentral:ncRNA from 1 species